GUCGGAGUGGCGGAAUUGGCAGACGCGCACGUUUGAGGGGCGUGUGGGACAACCGUGCGGGUUCAAGUCCCGCCUCCGACACCA
rnacentral:tRNA from 2 species